GUUUUGAGUCUUGUUCUCCCUACAAGUGUCUCCGCCCUCACCAACGAUAGAAUUGGCUUGGGGGGACACUGCUUAUAAAUACACAACAUGGAGAGACUUUACUACACAUUCUACUAGAGGAGAGGGAUACAAGAGGUGAAAAUCACUAACAUUUGAGAGGUGUGCAAAAGAGUUUAUUUUGGAUAGUUAUCAUCCUUUUGCCAAGAUUAGUUGAAGUAUGCACCUUCCAAUGACUGAGCUUUUUUGCCUGCUUGUAUAGCUUCUUGGUUUCUUGACAUUGAUGAAUAACCUUUUUCCAGGAGGCGCCACAAGAACG
rnacentral:misc_RNA from 1 species